UCCUCCCAGGCCCACCAAUUUAUGAUUGCUGAUAAGUUUGCUGAUAAGUUUUUUGUGAAUGUUUUGAUGGUUUUUUAUCUUACGAUCUUUCACUUUUAUGUUGCAAUCUUUCAAAAGUAUUUGAACUGUUUUAGGGGCCGUAGCUCAGCUG
rnacentral:misc_RNA from 1 species